AAAAGAGUUCUGUAAAAGGGUUGGAUCCGAGGCCCCUAGGAGGCCACUAUAGGCUCUCCUUCUCAACUCCUACUCAAUACGUCCACGACGUGCAGAACGGUAACUUGUCGCCUAGAUAUCCUAGCUGGGGUACACGGGGAAACCCAAUCCCUUGGGCGGAUGGGUGGCAAGGCUGAAUUGAGAGGG
rnacentral:ribozyme from 1 species